CCUACGGGUGGCAGCAGUGAGGAAUAUUGGUCAAUGGGCGCGAGCCUGAACCAGCCAAGUAGCGUGAAGGAUGACUGCCCUACGGGUUGUAAACUUCUUUUAUAAAGGAAUAAAGUGAGGCACGUGUGCCUUUUUGUAUGUACUUUAUGAAUAAGGAUCGGCUAACUCCGUGCCAGCAGCCGCGGUAAUACGGAGGAUCCGAGCGUUAUCCGGAUUUAUUGGGUUUAAAGGGAGCGUAGAUGGGUUGUUAAGUCAGUUGUGAAAGGUUGGGGCUCAACCGUAGAAGUGCAAUUGAUACUGGCGGUCUAGAGUACAGUUGAGGUAGGCGGAAUGCGUGGUGUAGCGGUGAAAUGCUUAGAGAUCACGAAGAACACCGAUUGCGAAGGCAGCUUACUAAACUGCCACUGACAUUGAGGCUCGAAAGUGUGGGUAUCAAACAGGAUUAGAUACCCUUGUAGUC
rnacentral:rRNA from 1 species